GACGACGCUGGCGGCGUGGAUUAGGCAUGCAAGUCGAACGGUAUCAUCUUCGGGGUGAGAGAGUGGCGAACUGGUGAGUAACACGUAGGUUAUCUACCCUAAGACGGGACAACCCAGGGAAACUUGGGCUAAUACCGGAUGUGAGCAACUUUUAGUUGUUUGAAAGGUGGCGUAAGCUGUCGCUUGGGGAUGAGCCUGCGUCCUAUUAGUUAGUUGGUGAGGUAACGGCUCACCUAGGCAAUGAUAGGUAGGCGGCCUUAACGGGUGGUCGCCCACACUGGGAUUGAGAUACGGCCCAGACUCCUACGGGAGGCAGCAGUCGAGAAUAGUCUACAAUGGUCGGAAGACUGAUAGUGCGACGCCGCGUGAACGAUGAAUCCCUUCGGGGUGUAAAGUUCUUUUAUAUGUGAGCAGUGCUUCUUAUAUUAACAGUAUGGGGAGAGAGAUAUUAGCAUAUGAAUAAGCAACGGCUAACUCCGUG
rnacentral:rRNA from 1 species